GUCGAACGCUGGCGGCGUGCUUAACACAUGCAAGUCGAACGAAGUGGCGAACGGGUGAGUAACGCGUAAUCAACCUGCCCUUCAGAGGGGGAAAACAGUUGGAAACGACUGCUAAUACCGCAUACUGAAGGUGGGGAUUGCGUCUGAUUAGCUAGUUGGAGGGGUAACGGCCCACCAAGGCGAUGCUUAGGAGGCGGUUGGGUGGAGUGAACGGCCAAAUUGGGACUGAGAAACGGCCCAGACUCCUAGGGGAGGGAGCACUGGGGAAUCUUCCGCAAUGGACGAAAAUCUGAAUGAGCAACGCCGCGUGAGUGAUGACAGCCUUCGGGUUGUAAAGCUCUUUUAAUCGGGACGCGGUACCGGAAUAGAAAGCCACGGCUAACUACGUGCCAGCAGCCGCGGUAAUUC
rnacentral:rRNA from 1 species